AUCUGGACUAUCUAGUGAAGUUCUUAAUUCUACAAAUCUUACACAAACCGAUAGUCUUCUGUAAGUUGAAUAAGCUUGUGAUCCUAGUUUUGAAACUAGGAUAAUCGGUCGCUUGACCAUUUUGAUUUACCCCUCAAAUUCAUUUAAAAAAAAAAAGAUUCUCUUAAAAGGUGAAUUGAUCGACCAGGAUUGAGUUUAACAGGUUGAUGACUUUUCGGGAAGGUGAUAUGACACUUAAACUAUCCUGAGCGAUCAGAGAAUGUCAUUUAAUUUAUAUAAGCAACUGUACAACCAAAAUUCAUUGGACUUUCAGGUUCAUACUUGGCCACGCGUGGAUGCUUUCCUAAUAUCUCCAGUGCACGCUGCUUCAAAGCACCAGUGCCCAUACCAUGUACAACAAAGAUAACCGAACCUGGCUCCCUUGCAGAUAAUGCCAUUUCGAGGUGGAAAGCAGCUUCUUCCACUCGCAUACCACGUAGAUCCACAGUAUUCUUUGAUGUCUGUACCUUAGGGCCAUAGGAAACCUCCUCAUUCUGGUUGACCUCAGGAUGAAUCUGCUGACCCUGCAAUAUUGACCAAGAGGAGCAGAUUCAGCAAAUAUGGACUUUAUUUUGAAGAGAAUUAGAUGCCAAUCACUGGCCAAAAACACGUUUUGUAGUGAGCAAGACAUUGUUAAGUCAGUUAAACAUGUAAACUAAAGAAUGUGUGGUUCACAAGUCUACUAAAUCCACACGCUUUUACAGAGGAUACACUUGAGAAGUGUAGCCAUUUAACAGCAGUUGGUAUUAUAUGCUCAUAUGAAACUCAAGAAUACUGCAAAAAAUAAAUACACUCAUGAAUCUUAUAGAGCAAAAUUUCAUUAAACAGGGAAGUGUGUUUAGCUUCUUAGGAAUCAGCCCAAGUAAAUGCAAACAUGAUAGUGGAAAGCCUGUCAUAUACCAAAACAGUAAACUUUUCCACAGCGGUAUAUAGCAACUACCUGCCGCUUUAAUCGUGGGACCACAUUUGUUGCGUCACUCCUUUCAUUACCUUGAAUGGCUCUAAUAUCACUUUUCUUCACACGAACUCUGAUUUUACCAUAUUGGACUAAGAUUGUCUCAUCAUUUCCUGGUGCUUCAACUACAGUAGCUAUCUUACUUCCCAGUCGCUUCACAUAGACUUGCUCUCCGUAUUGUGGAGUGUAUGAACUAACAUCUACUUCAUUAACAUGGAGACCAUCAGAUGGACAAUGAGCUUCAACAAUGCAUGCAAUUGCUGAUUCUGACUUCUUAAUCAGAGAAUUAAACUGAUCUGGAGUGGCUUUUCUAAGGAGAUUUUCAAAGUCACGAACUACAAUUUCUAUUUGAGACUUUGUGGCCUCUAGCUCCUGUUGGACUUGUUUGGUUUCUUUUUUCAAGAGUGCUAUCACACGCCUGUCAAGAUCCUCUGCCUCAUGCUGAAUCUUGAUUAUUAAAAUCAGGGACAAAACACAGAAAAAGAAACCAAGAGAUAAGAAUUAGUACCAUGAUAUUCACUCAAGGUACCAACAAUCAAAUCACAUUUCUCAAGUGCUAACAAAGCUAAUUUGGGAACCGUAAGAAAGACCAAUUUUGACUUCCCAGCGAGGAAAUUACUAGAUUAUGUGCAACCAUAUGCAAUAGCAGAACUAAAUAUUCACCAUCAGGGCCAGCCAAGCAAAGUGUGGCAGCAUAGAACAGCCGGACUGACGAUGGUUGAAGCCAAUGGUCAAAGCCAAUGGUUGAAGUCAAUGGUCAAAGCUAAUAGCCAUAUUCUAAACGGGCCACUAAAAGAUGCAAUUCAGCAAAGCAUUUCAUUCCACCAUCAUUGCUGAGGAUUUAGCUAAAACUGAAUUGAAGUUACAAAGAAAAAUCUUGACCCCAUAGCACAAAGUGCAUUAUAAGGCAACAAAUGUUGUGCUAUGCUGGAAUUUCUGAACUAUACCUCAUGGUAGAGCCUCAUUAUUUCUGAAUGAAGAGAUGCAGCUUUAGUGGCCUGAGCUUCCAAUCUGUUUUUUUCCUCCAUUAGAGAUUGGUACAGCAAACCUUUCCGCUGCUGCUGCUUUUCAGGCAUUAACUUCUCCACCCACUUUUGUGCACGUUCAAUCAUAUGACUAUCAAAACCAAGUGAUUUAGCAAUGCUUAAAGCAUUUGAAUCACCAGUGCUCCCCCAGAGGAUCUGAUAGGUAGGUUGUAAGGUUUCAAGAGAAAAUUCCAUGGCUGCAUUCAGAAAUCGAGUAUCCUUAUCUUUUAGGAGACUUAAAUCGGCAUAAUGAGUUGUCACAACAGCUAAGUUAACACGAUCUCGAAGAUAUUGUAAGAUGCUGGUUGAAAGCGCUACCCCUUCAGAAGGAUCAGUUCCACUACAAAUUUCGUCAAUAAGGACAAGUGAUUCUUUUGAGGCCACUUCCAAGAUCGUACAAAUGCGUGAUAUGUGCCCACUAAAUGUUGAGAGAUUUUGUUCCAGUGACUGGUGGUCCCCAAUAUCUGCUAGAACAAGAUCAAACCACGGAAUCCUUGGGGUGUUAUUAGCAGGCAAAAAUAAGCCAGCUUUUGACAUAAGAGAUGCUAUACCUAGAGUUUUCAUAGACGCAGUUUUCCCUCCAGUGUUAGGUCCUGAAAUUACAACCACUCUGGUUCCACAUUCCACUCUAAUGUUUAUUGGCACAGGAAAUUCAGAUGCUCUUUUGGACAGGCUUUCAGUAGCCAUUACGCUGUCUCCAUCAUCCAAUUCAGCUGAUUUCUCGGAGUUGGACCCAAAGACUUCAGACAAACUUCUUUGAGAUGAUCCAAGAAGUAAUGGAUGUUGUAUACCUUCAAUAUCUAUUGAUAGUGCAUAAUUUACUCUAUUGGAAGGUCCACCUUCACAAUCUUCUGAAGUCAAAAUUGGAUGGACCCCAUUCAUCUGUUGAGCAUAAGCAGCCCUAGCAAAAGCAAGAUCAAGUUCUAGAAUUCCAUCCAAUAAAUAUUUUAUGUCCCCCUCUGAUUCUGCUAUUUCAGAUGUAAGCAAGCUUAAAAUGGCUAUUUCUUCGGCUUUCUCAGAGUUUGAGAGCAUGACCUCAAAGUUAUUCAAUUCCACUGCAUCACCAGGCUCCAUAAAAUAAGUAGCACCAGAACCACUAACAUCGAGAAUCACACCAUUAGGAAUCAAAUAUUUGUGGGUAGCCCUAACUCCUAUGCACAACCUAGAACGGCGCUUAGUUAUCAAAGGUUUGUCAAUACCCCCAGCCUGGAAAAUCUGUGCUGAUAUUCCCUUCAACAAAGUAUCCAGAUUUUCCAUGUUCUUCUUCCUUUCAGACCGAAUGAUUUCCAAUUCUUCACUAGCUCUAUCAAGGAUUAUUGAGAGAUUACAGUCUAUGCAAAAUCCUAUCUUCUGCUCCAACUCUAUUUGUAAAUUGCAACCCUGGAGUAUUUCAAGCAGGUGCAUAUACCUUCAAAAUCAGGUUUCUUUUGGUGCUCACUGAGACAAGAGAAUCCAUGACAAUCACAAAUUUAUGCCUCUCUCCAAAUUUGUUCAAGCAAAAGAGAAUACCUCUCCGAGCAAUCUCCGCUGUCCUUUAACCUCUCAAACAAGGCCCUUGCAGCUCUCAGCGUCCGCCUCACCGCACAGAGCUCACUAACCGUAAGCAAGUUUCCGGAAACCGCAGAAUUCAGAAUCCCUGAUAUAUCUUCGAUCCCCGAAAAGUCCAACGUCCCAGAUUGCAUUACGGCCAAUGCCGCAGCGGUCUGGUCGAGUAACUUACGGCUCUCCUGAAGGCUUUUCCCGAUGGGAAUGGCUGCGUUUCGAGUUACUGAAUAGCCCAUUGAGGUUGACGUAAAGACAGAGAGACGCUCGCAAAGAGAGCUCCAUUCUAGGGCUUUCAGAGUUUCGGAUUGCAGAGAACGAUACAGAGAGGGACGAGGUAAGGGUGAAUCGGGCGAGGUGGGGAGAGAAAAGAGGGGUUUUAGAGUAUUGAAUCUGAAGGGUUUGGAGAAUUGAAUUGGAGAAUUUUUAAAGGAGAUGAAAUGAUUGGAGAGUUCCAUAGAGGGAUUUUAGUGGAGAACGGUGGUUAUCGUUAGCAUUUGAAGUUCAGUUUUCUGUUUCAUUAGGGUUUCAGGUUUCUUAUCGCUUUCCUUUCAGUUAUUAACUGAAAACUGGAAUGUAU
rnacentral:misc_RNA from 1 species